GAUGAACGCUGGCGGCGUGCCUAAUACAUGCAAGUCGAGCGAACAGACGAGGAGCUUGCUCCUUCGACGUUAGCGGCGGACGGGUGAGUAACACGUAGGUAACCUACCUAUAAGACUGGGAUAACUUCGGGAAACCGGAGCUAAUACCGGAUAAUAUUUCGAACCGCAUGGUUCGAUAGUGAAAGAUGGCUUUGCUAUCACUUAUAGAUGGACCUGCGCCGUAUUAGCUAGUUGGUAAGGUAACGGCUUACCAAGGCAACGAUACGUAGCCGACCUGAGAGGGUGAUCGGCCACACUGGAACUGAGACACGGUCCAGACUCCUACGGGAGGCAGCAGUAGGGAAUCUUCCGCAAUGGGCGAAAGCCUGACGGAGCAACGCCGCGUGAGUGUUGAAGGUCUUCGGAUCGUAAAACUCUGUUAUUAGGGAAGAACAAACGUGUAAGUAACUGUGCACGUCUUGACGGUACCUAAUCAGAAAGCCACGGCUAACUACGUG
rnacentral:rRNA from 1 species